AACGUAGGAGACGAACGUUAUCUGGAGUUACUGGGCGUAAAGGGCGUGUAGGCGGUUUGUUAAGUCUGGCGUGAAAGCUCUCGGCUAAACCGGGAGAGGUCGUUGGAUACUGGCAAACUAGAGGAUGGUAGAGGCGUGUGGAAUUCCGGGUGUAGUGGUGAAAUGCGUAGAGAUCCGGAGGAACACCAGUGGCGAAGGCGGCCAGCUGGGCCGGACCUGGACGCUGAGACGCGAAGGC
rnacentral:rRNA from 1 species